rnacentral:rRNA from 1 species
CCUACGGGUGGCUGCAGUGAGGAAUAUUGGUCAAUGGACGAGAGUCUGAACCAGCCAAGUAGCUUGAAGGAUGACUGCCCUAUGGGUUGUAAACUUCUUUUAUAUGGGAAUAAAAUGUUCCACGUGUGGGAUUUUGUAUGUACCAUAUGAAUAAGGAUCGGCUAACUCCGUGUCAGUAGCCGCGGUAAUACGGAGGAUCCGAGCGUUAUCCGGAUUUAUUGGGUUUAAAGGGAGCGUAGGUGGAUUGUUAAGUCAGUUGUGAAAGUUUGCGGCUCAACCGUAAAAUUGCAGUUGAAACUGGCAGUCUUGAGUACAGUAGAGGUGGGCGGAAUUCGUGGUGUAGCGGUGAAAUGCUUAGAUAUCACGAAGAACUCCGAUUGCGAAGGCAGUUCACUGGACUGCAACUGACACUGAGGCUCGAAAGUGUGGGUAUCAAACAGGAUUAGAUACCCUAGUAGUC